AGGACGAACGCUGGCGGCGUGCUUAACACAUGCAAGUCGAGCGAAGUCCAACCGGUGGCAACACCGGGGAAGGCUUAGCGGCGAACGGGUGAGUAACACGUGAGCGACCUGCCGUACCUGUGGGGGAUAGCCGGCCCAACGGCCGGGUAAUACCGCAUACGAUCGUUUGGGGGCAUCCCUGGGCGACGAAAGCGUGGCGCAAGCCAGGCGCAGGACGAGGGGCUCGCGGCCUAUCAGCUAGUUGGCGGGGUAACGGCCCACCAAGGCGACGACGGGUAGC
rnacentral:rRNA from 1 species